rnacentral:sRNA from 1 species
GCUGGGCAUGGUGGUGCAUGCCUGUAAUCCCAGCAGCUCAGGAAGCUGAGGCAGAAGGAUAGAGAGUUCAAAGCCAGCCUCAACAAUUUAGAGAGGCCCUAAGUAACUCAGCCAGACCCUGUCUCUA